rnacentral:rRNA from 1 species
GACGAACGCUGGCGGCGUGCUUAACACAUGCAAGUCGAACGCUGAAGCUCAGCUUUUGUUGGGUGGAUGAGUGGCGAACGGGUGAGUAACACGUGAGUAACCUGCCCCCUUCUUUGGGAUAACGCCCGGAAACGGGUGCUAAUACUGGAUAUUCACUGGUCUUCGCAUGGGGGUUGGUGGAAAGGGUUUUUCUGGUGGGGGAUGGGCUCGCGGCCUAUCAGCUUGUUGGUGGGGUGAUGGCCUACCAGGGCUUUGACGGGUAGCCGGCCUGAGAGGGUGACCGGUCACAUUGGGACUGAGAUACGGCCCAGACUCCUACGGGAGGCAGCAGUGGGGAAUAUUGCACAAUGGGCGCAAGCCUGAUGCAGCGACGCCGCGUGAGGGAUGGAGGCCUUCGGGUUGUGAACCUCUUUCGCCCAUGGUCAAGCCGCAACAAUGGUUGUGGUGAGGGUAGUGGGUAAAGAAGCGCCGGCUAACUACGUG